GCCAGGGCCGCCUCAACACCGAGGCAGGUCUGAUUCUAUUUAUUCUAAAGACAGAGUUGGAGAUGGGCUACCAUUGGUGUUGAUUGAGAUGACAAGCAGUCACCUGAGCCCAUACAGCUGGUAAGUAGAACAGUACUGGAGAGAUGGCUCAGCAGUUAAGAGCACUGACUGCUCUUCCAGAGAUCCUGAGUUCAAUUCCCAGCAACCACAUGGUGGCUCACAAACAUCUGUAAUGAGAUCAGGU
rnacentral:lncRNA from 1 species